CACGGCCUAGGCAGGCCCCAAUGGGACUGUCCGACGACGAACGGCGACGUCGAGGCCGAGGCGGCGGCUUUCAGUCGCCAGGGGAGCACCCUGCCGGGCGGCGGCCUACCGCCGCAGCCUGCUUCGGCUUCAUGCCGCGCGCGAGAUGACCUUGCGCCCCAGGGGGAACAUGCUCCAAUUGCAGGAAUUCACCUCGGGGGGGAGGGGGGGUCGUGUGCCCCUCACGUUAUCAGUCGAGACCACCCUACGGCAGGCCGGCAGCCGGUACUGGACCCCCCAUUAUGUGCGCCCCAAUUGCAGUCCGUGCCAUGAAUUUCAUCUAAUCCCUGAAGAUCCCUCUAGGAAUAAAGUAACUCGAGAACACAAGGUAGUGCUGUUGUUGUUUUUGGUCAUAACUGUGUACCAACUGAUCUACUGCUGUUUCAAAAUGCAUUUGUUUUAGGCUGGGGACGCCCCAUUUUGUUGUUUAAGACACGAGGUUGAAAUUUCGAAGAAUCAGUCCAGCAAUGGUUUUGCAUACCCGAAUAAAAGUGUAAAAAGUGUAUGUUUGUAUUAAACAAUAUGCAUAACAAUCAAGCAUACUCAUAUGACUAUAUUAGCAAAUAUUUUCUUCUUGAUGAAGAUGCCUACCAGCAUUUAUCUCAGAAUUGAUUGAUGUCAAUGUAGUUCUACCUUUCUAGCGUGAUACUCAUAGCCAUAGUUGCGCUGCAUGACGAAACUUCUUCCUCACUUGGAUUUACAUGGAAGUAAGCUGGUUGCAUAGGCUUGGGUAAGCUCACAUCUUUAGUGUUUAGCAUUGUGACAACUCGCUCCAUAUCAGGUCGAUGCUCUGCACUUUCUUGGACACAUAAAAGUGCCACAUGAAUGCACCUUUCUAUCUCAAGAUGUCCAUUGCAUGAAGGAGAAUAAAUCAGCUCACCAAAUUUUUCAUCACUCCAAAGUUGCCAAGCCUGCCAAAGUAGCAUGUUUUGUGAAACAAGUAACAUUGGGGUCUACAUUUAGAAGCAAGUGGGUAUGCAUAUAUAAAAGUUCUGGAUGGUAUUAAGGUUACACUCACAUAUGAGAUGAGAUUAUACAGCUUUCCAUUGUAGUCAUAGAACUGGGCUGUCCUCUUUGAGCUUAUGAUUUCCAAUGUCAAUACGCCGAAGCUAAAAACAUCCGAUUUGAUGGAGCAAACCCCAUGAAAAGCAUAUUCAGGAGAUCCAUAUGUUCUUACUGUGUGCCCACUAUUCUGGUGGUAUUUGAUUCUUCCACAUUUGAGCAGAAUAUUCUGGCCAUCCCAAAAUCAGAUAUUUUUGGAUUCAUUUCACCAUCCAAGAGAAUGUUAUUUGCUUUCAAAUCUCUAUGGACAACACAUAAUCGUGAAUAAUUGUGAAGGUAAAGAAGCCCUUGAGCUAUUCCAUCAAUUAUUUGCAUACGUUUUGACCAGUUUAGUUGUGCUCCCUUCACAUUAUCUGCAAAAGGUGCAUAAUUAAUCAAAGCUGUUGACAUACUAUAAACAGCAUUACGCAUGUAGAAGCGUCGAGUCUUGCCAAAUAUGAAGCGGUCUAGACUUUUAUUUUCCAUGUAUUCGUAUACAAGCAUCUUUUCUUCUCCUUUAGUGCAGUAACCCAGCAGCUUAACGAGAUUUUUGUGUUGAAGCUUUGAUAUAAGCUGAAUUUCAUUUUGGAAUUCCAAUAAACCUUGUGGAGAACAUAUUUCUAGUCUCUUGACUGCUAUUUUAAUUCCACUGCUCAAUCGGCCCUGAGAUUGAUUGAAAGAGAAAAAGAAUAAGUUAUUUUUUCGUACCUCAAUAACUUGGUUUACUGGGAACUUAUAUCCAUUAUAUUUAGCCACAAAACAAAACUUAUGCACCAUUGCAUAAGAUAUCUCCACAAUAAUAUAGAAAGGGCAUUAUAUUUGUAUUAACAAUGCAUGUUUAAUUCAUUUUAGGGGUCCAUUUGCAAUGUAAGGACAUAAUACCUUGUAUACAGGACCAAAGCCACCUUGCCCCAAUUUGUUAUCAACUGAAAAGUUAUUUGUAGCUUCCUUUAUAUGCGAGUAAUCAUAUUGUGAAAAUCCCAAGUUGCUGCCUUCCAUCCUCCAUAAACUUAUUACACUUUGUAUUGCCAAAGACAUUUGUCGUAAUUUUAAUAUUGCAUGCUCUGGAAAACAAUUUCGAAAUUUUAUGCUGUCGAUAUUUGUAAGAGAGCAAUGACAAAUGGCACAAAUUUUGGUCUGCUGUUGUGUAAAUUCAUACCUCUCUGUUGCUGUGUUUUGACCCAUACAUGAAAAAACAGGCAAGAAAUGAAUACUACCAUUAAGAAUACUCCAAUUCCAACCAAGAUAUUAGCUGUGUUGCCUGUACAAGUGUACAUCGAUGCAUAAGACCAACGAGUUGUAAUUUGAGAAGACAACUAAAAGUGCACCUCUACGGCACAGGCAAUCAGUGUUUUAGCUAGGGACAUCAGGUUGGAUUUAAUCUGUAUGUGUUGUUUGGCAUGUACCUGGCACCAUUAUAAUUACCGCAGAAGAUCUGGCCAGCUAAUGUUGCUGGGCAAGAGAGGAAGAGGAAGAGGAAGAGGAAGAGGAAGAUAACAGUAGCGUUAUGAUUGGUAGCUAGCGUUCCAUUGUCUUUGUUCCAUCUAUAUUGCAGAAUUGCUCGUCAAGAAGUCUGAGGUGAGUGCCAAAUAUCAGGUAAAGGAAUUCAAAGGUCAAGCAUUGGUUCCAUUCAAUAGUUUGCGGAAAAUGAUUGCUAAGACUCAUUCUUUGCAUUAGUAAUUGAUAGAUGGUGAUAUGCCCAUAUUUUCCACUGAAGAUUGGUCCAGAGGCUGUUUCGUGGGUUGGAAAUCUGAGGUGAAGUAGUCGACUUGUCUACAUUCCCUUGUGAGCAGUGUGCCUGUCUACAUUCCAGAUGCUUUCAUAUUUCUUGAUUACGUCUUCAAUAAUUUCUCAUGCUGACAAAUAUGUCCUAGCUUGUGGAAAAAGUAAAGGAGGACUGAAAACAACCACAGAUAGAUUUAUGAUAUAUUUCUAAAAAAUGAUAUCUAUUGCGGCAAAUUGCAAUUCAUUGUCACAACAGAACUUGGCUAUGUGCUAGUGGUAGACAGUUUGGAACUGAAAUAUAAAUUUAAUUCAGUCUCAUACUGUUUACACAGGAUAAUAAGGAAAAUCUUGUUACAUAUGUAAAACCACUAGUCCAAUCAGCCAGGUUAACUGGUGAGAAACAGCAGAACACACUGGCUUGUACAAUUAAUUAACACAAGGAUGGCCAAGACCUGUAAGGCUAUAACUCAUACUUCACUAACAGUAUGACGACAUUCUACUAUCUGCCAUUUGUAGUAGUGAUACUCACAUCAUUUCUGCUACUCAAUACAGUGGCAUUCACUGACACAUCUAAUUUCGCAUAGGAGUAAGCUGGUUGCUUUGGUUCUGGCAAAGUGAUGCCAUCACUGCUAAGAAUUGCAACAACAUCAGCCAUUAUGGGACGAUCUAUUGUUUUUUCUUGAACACACAUCAAUGCCACGACAAGGUAUUUCAUCAGCUCUUCCGGUUCGUACUCAUCAUCAAAUGAUUGAUUGGUGAACUCAUUCCAUCUCCUACCUUUCCACAGUUGCCAGGCCUGAAAAGAAAACAAAAAAGAUAUUUACAUUCCCGGCAGCAUAUGAUGGUAUAUCUUUAUGCUGUUAGAUCUAGCUACAAACGUAAGGAACAAGAGAUAAAGGAAACUGCACUAUACUUUGUAGAAAUAAAGAAAGAAAGAAAUAAAGAAUGUAGAAUAUAACCACACUAGUAAUGGUAACUGAUAUGCUAGUAUAUAUGCAAUUUGUUAGAAACAGUAUUUGUUCCUCCUUUUUUUGUUGUUGAGGUAAUUACAGUAGGGGAGGCCCCUACUAACCACCAAUAUUACAGAUUGUUGGUUUUUAGCUGCUUACAUAUUCAAGGAGGUUGUAGAAUUCUCCAUUGUACUGAAAACCUGAGCUCCUCUUUCCGCUUAUAAUUUCAAGAAGCAGGACCCCGAAACUGAAAACAUCUGACUUGAUUGAGAGAAGGCCACCAGAUGCAUAUUCAGGAGCCAUGUAUCCACUAGAAAAAGGGUGAUAUGUGGGAAGUCAGAAAGCAAAUGCUUUGAUAGAAACAUUAGUAACAGAACUAGUUUAAUGCACUUACAAUGUGCCUACAAGUCUGCUUGCUGUUACUUGAGUGGCAUCUGAUGGAAAUAUCCUUGCCAUUCCAAAAUCAGAAAUCUUAGGGUUUAGUUGAGAAUCUAACAGAAUAUUGCUUGCUUUCAAGUCCCUAUGGAUUAUGCGUAGUCGUGAGUGAUUGUGAAGGUACAGAAGCCCUUGAGCUAUACCUUCAACUAUUUUAAUUCGUCUCUUCCAUUUGAGUGACGCUCCCCUGAUCGGAUCUACACGCAAUGUAACAAGACCAAGUGUUAGUUCUGCAUACAAGAACGAAUGCAAUUACGAAACUUGCAGUUUAGAUUAAGCACGUGCCGAAAAUGAAGUGAUCCAAGCUUUUGUUGGGCAGGUAUUCGUAGAUUAGCAUCUUCUCUUCUUCAUGGAUGCAACAGCCAAGCAGCCUAACAAGGUUUCUGUGCUGAAGUUUCGCUAUAACCUGGAUCUCAUUCUUGAACUCUAAUAGACCUUGUCGUGAUCGAGCAGACAGUCUUUUAAUUGCUAGAUCUUGUCCAUCAGGAAAUACUCCCUGCAAAAACUCAUCGCUCCAUGUUUAUAUGGAGCCAUCUAAAUUUCAUGAUAUUGGUGCAUGACCGUAAUAAUAGCAAGGAAAUACCUUGUAAACUGGGCCAAAUCCACCCUCUCCUAGUUUAUUUUCGGUUGAGAAGUUGUCUGUAGCAUCAGCAAUCUGAGAGAAAUCAUACAAUGAGAACUCUGAGCUAGUGUCUUCGAGCCUCCACAGCCUAAGUACUUCAUCAAUGUUCUUGGGCUCCUCCAUCGAGUUCAUUUUUCCUAAACACUUAGGAGCCAGAAAAACAACCGUGUACAGAGGACUGCGGAAGAGUAAACUGCUGCAAUGAUGAUGAACGCACGGUCUUUAUUUUGUCCUGAACAUGAUACAUGAAACGAUGAACGAUCAAUAAUGGGGUUUAACAAUUUCUCAAGAAUUUUGGAGCGCCAGGAUGCGCCUCAAAUUAAGCUGAAUUUUCGGAGGUUGCAGAAAUUACUCAUCUUGGUAACAAGCAUGGCAAUUGACAACAUUCAGUGACGUUGAAGAACUGCAGGUCCAUCUCGUACCGCAUGGUGCACCGCGCCCCGAAGACCGCCCCACCCAUCUUGCCGCCGCCGAUCUUCCUCCGCCUCUCGGCGACGACACCACCUAGGCAGGCCCGGCAGCGGUCGGGCGGCAUGUCCUGCGUGCACUGCGCCAGCCCGUACACCGCCCGGUCCGUGUCCGCCCACAACGACGGCCACGGCGCUUUGCCCACCGCCCACCUGUCCGGCCGCCUCGCCGCGGUGUCGGCGAGCGCUGUCAACAGCUCCGUGACCUGCUCGUCGAACCGCGCGGCCACGUCGUGCGGCACGGCGUCCGGGUUCGUGACGUCGGCCCAUUCCGGCGUGUUGCUGAAGUCGGCGAGGAAGUCCCUGCCGGAGAAGCGGAGCUGGUACAGCUCGGAGUAGACGGCCACGUCCCUGCGCAGCGUGCAGGAGGCGUCGCCGCUGGUGCUGCCGCCGUCGAUGGCGCCGAGGGCGUCCCGGAGGCGCCUGGCGCAGUCGGCGCCCGCGGAGUCCGCCCCGGCAGAGCGCGGCGCCGUAGACCCUGUCGGGGCCCUCCCCGGCAGCGCCUGUGGCCGAGUGCAGCCUCGCGGCGUCGCCGAUCAGCGCGUCGGCGAGCGUCCUCAGGUUGGACAUGUAUGUGCCGUUUCGCUUGUAGGUGGCAUCGCCGCAGAAGGACUGGUCGCCGGCCGACGGCGCCGGCGCGGUGGAGAGGAGGAUGAUCACCAGCGCCAGUAGAUUUGGCAUCAACAGUCGUUUUUCUUUGUUCAUUUGCAAAAUUAUGUAAAAUGUUGGCCACAGCACUAGUACUAGCUAGAGAAUUCCUAGCAGAGAUGAAAAAAGGUGAAAUUGAAACGUA